AUUGAACGCUGGCGGCAUGCCUAACACAUGCAAGUCGAGCGGAUGAAGGAAGCUUGCUCCUGGAUUCAGCGGCGGACGGGUGAGUAAUGCCUAGGAAUCUGCCUGGUCGUGGGGGAUAACGUCCGGACACGGGCGCUAAUACCGCAUCCGUCCUGAGGGAGAAAGUGGGGGAUCUUCGGACCUCACGCUAUCAGAUGAGCCUAGGUCGGAUUAGCUAGUUGGUGGGGUAAAGGCCUACCAAGGCGACGAUCCGUAGCUGGUCUGAGAGGAUGAUCAGUCACACUGGAACUGAGACACGGUCCAGACUCCUACGGGAGGCAGCAGUGGGGAAUAUUGGACAAUGGGCGAAAGCCUGAUCCAGCCAUGCCGCGUGAGUGAAGAAGGUCUUCGGAUUGUAAAGCACUUUAAGUUGGGAGGAAGAGAAGUAAGUUAAUCCCUUGCUGUUUUGACGUUACCAAAAGAAUAAGCACCGGCUAACUUCGUG
rnacentral:rRNA from 1 species